AUUGAACGCUGGCGGCAGGCCUAACUCAUGCAAGUCGAGCGAGCGGCGGACGGGUGAGUAAGGGAUGGGGACUGCCCGAUAGAGGGGGAUAACUACUGGAAACGGGGGGUAAUACCGCAUACUAUCGGAGAACCCAUAUGGGAGUAGCUAGUAGGUGGGGUAAAGGCUCACCUAGGCGACGAUCUCUAGCUGGUCUGAGAGGAUGAUCAGCCACACUGCGACUGAGCCACGGCCCAGACGCGUGCGGCGGGAGCAGUGGCGAAUAGUGCAGGCUGCGCGCCAGCCUGAUGCAGCCAUGCCGCGGGUAGUAAGGCGGCCUUAGGGUUGUAAAGUCCUUUCAGCGCGGAGGCGUUACCCGCGGAAGAAGCACCGGCUAACUCCGUGCCAGCAGCCGCGGUAAUUC
rnacentral:rRNA from 1 species